rnacentral:rRNA from 1 species
ACGGGUGAGUAACGCGUGGGGAAUCUACCUUUUAGUGGGGAAUAACGCUCCGAAAGGAGUGGUAAUACCGCAUGAGACCCAUGGCUGGGAUGCUGUGGGUGAAACCCUGGGACCUUCGGGCCAGGGGCUAGAAGAGGAUCCUGCGUCUGAUUAGCUAGUUGGUGAGGUAACGGCCCACCAAGGCAUCGAUCAGUAGCCGGCCUGAGAGGGUGAUCGGCCACACUGGAACUGAGACACGGUCCAGACUCCUACGGGAGGCAGCAGUGGGGAAUUUUGCGCAAUGGGCGAAAGCCUGACGCAGCAACGCCGCGUGGGUGAUGAAGGUCUUCGGAUUGUAAAACCCUGUCGCCAGGGACGAAGGGGGCGAGGUUAACAGCCUUGUUCUUUGACGGUACCUGGAAAGGAAGCCCCGGCUAACUCUGUGCCAGCAGCCGCGGUAAUACAGAGGGGGCAAGCGUUAUUCGGAAUUAUUGGGCGUAAAGGGCGCGUAGGCGGUUUUUUAAGUCGGAUGUGCAAUCCCUGGGCUCAACCCAGGAACUGCAUCCGAGACUGGAAGGCUAGAGUACUGGAGAGGGUGGUGGAAUUCCUCGUGUAGCGG